AAAUUUGGUAAGUAUUGUAAUAAAACCGAAUUAUUUUACAAAUAAAUUAUAAUUUUGCAUUUAUUAGGUCAUUUCCUUAGUGUUUUCCUGGCCGACCUGUGCUGGUAUUGUAAUUAAGAGCUAAUACACCAUUCUCUGGUGAACUGUAGCUGCGGCCGAAUUUGAUUGUGUGCAUCAUCCUGCAGAUAUUUUGAAAUUUUGUGGACGCUUCUGCUGUGCUGCGUUCCUGCUCCGCCUGUGUAUUGCUCCGCCCGUGUUUUAUAGUGUUGCGUCCCUGUU